AUGGAGGACGGCAUCCUACGAGAGGCAGUCGUGGACUCCUUCAUGGAGGUCACGGCCUGCGAGUCACGGGCGAUCGCCGAGCGUCACCUUGCUUCCAGUGGCUGGCAACUGGAGGCCGCCAUCAACCGCUACUUCACCACCGGCGGCGCCGACCCCGCGCCCGAUCCCCCCGUCGCCGCCCGCUCCGAAACGAUGCACGACGACAUGGUGCGCGAUCCCAUCACCGCCCGCUCCGCCACCCUGUACGGCAACGCCAACAACUUGUACGCUGCCGGUUCCAGCACCGCCCGCGCCGCGACGUCCAUAUGGAGCGCCGACAGGGUUCGGCCAUCUCCCUGGUCUGUCCAGCGUCCGGCGCCGAUGGAAUAUGCAUCUAUGCCUGACAUACCCGCGACCGGGUGGGAAUCUGACGGUGACACCGCUCCCGUCGCUGCCCGCUCUGAAACGAUGCCCGACGGCAGGGUGCGCGAUCCCAUCCCCGCCACGCUGUACGGCAACGGCAACUUCUACGCUGACAGGGCGCCGCCGUCUCCAUGGUCUGUCGAUCGUCCGGCGCCGAUGGAAUAUACAUUUAUGCCUGACAUGACCGCGACCGGGUGGGGAUCUGAUGGUGACACCGGCUCAAAGGAAACCGAAGAAAUCAACAUGAGCGACCAUGACGAACGAAACAAGGUGGCCGAAGAAGAAGAUAACAGGAAAGAGGGCAAUGAGGCGAUGGAAGAAGACGACGGGUACGGUGACAUGCAGGCGGAGGACGAGUACCACGGCACGGAGUCGGAGUACUACAGCGACGACGGCGCCUACUUGGAGGCGGCGGAAACUGACAGCAACGACGGCCGCAUGGAGGCACUGGAGGGGCAACCGGGCCAGACCAACAAGACGCUGGAAGAGCUGUUCCGGCCUCCGUACGAGAUCAUGUUCGGUGGAAGCUUCCACGACGCCAAAGCACACGCGGCGAGCAACGUCCGGUGGCUGCUGGUGAACCUACAGUCAAGCGGCGACUUCAAGUCGCAGCAACACAACCGGGACCUGUGGUCGAACGAGGUGGUCGUCCAGGUGAUCAAGGACAACUUCAUCUUCUUGCUUCUGGAGAAGAGGGGGCGGAAAGGCGACGAGGGGCUCAAGGUGUGCUGCUACUACAAUGUCCAUCAUGAUCAGCUUCCAGCCGUGCUCGUCCUCGACCCAGUCACGGGGCAGUUGCUCGAUAAGUGGUGCGGCCUUGUCCAGCAGCCCGACGAUUUCCUGACAAGCAUUGGCAAGUUCACUGAGUCGAAGCCCAGCUUGACGUCCAAACCCAAGAUAGUCCGAAGAACGGCAACGCUCGAAAGCGGUGAAACCCCUGCUGCACAAGAACCUGCAACCGCAAUGCCUAACACCGCUGCCUCUGAUGCACAACCUGCUCCGGCGUCCAAGGUUGACGAGAUCGAGGCGGCUCCGGCGCCCAAGGUUGAGGAGAUAGAGGCACCUGCGGUGGACGACGGGCAGCCUAUGGAAGGAGAGACGGUCUGCAAGCUGAGGAUACGGUUCCCUGCUGGUAACAUGGUGACCAAGGAGUUUGGCAGUACGCGGAAAACCGCGGUGCUCUUUGCAUACUGCAGAUCAGUUGUACUUGAACAGACAGGGACGGAGCAGGCCUUCCGGAUCAUGAGGCUGGCUGCACAGAGCUUUGAGGAGCUGCUCGACGUUGGUGCCUCGUUUGAUGAUUUGAAGCUUGACCGCGAUACCAUCUCUGUCGUGCUAGAUACUUGA
rnacentral:rRNA from 1 species